rnacentral:rRNA from 1 species
UACGUAGGGUCCGAGCGUUGUCCGGAAUUAUUGGGCGUAAAGGGCUCGUAGGCGGUUUGUCGCGUCGGGAGUGAAAACUCAGGGCUCAACCCUGAGCGUGCUUCCGAUACGGGCAAACUAGAGGUAUGCAGGGGAGAAUGGAAUCCCUGGUGUAGCGGUGGAAUGCGCAGAUAUCAGGAGGAACACCGGUGGCGAAGGCGGUUCUCUGGGCAUUACCUGACGCUGAGGAGCGAAAGCAUGGGGAGCGAACAGG